rnacentral:rRNA from 1 species
GUCGAGAAUCUUCCUCAAUGGCCGAAAGGCUGAAGGAGCAAUGCCGCGUGCAGGAAGACGCCCUUCGGGGUGUAAACUGCUUUUCUCAGGGAUGAAUAAUUGACAGUACCUGAGGAAUAAGCCACUGCUAACCUCGUGCCAGCAGCAGCGGUAAUACGAGGGUGGCAAGCGUUAUCCGGAAUUAUUGGGCGUAAAGCGUCCACAGGUGGCUAGAAAAGUUUUCAGUAAAACCAUCAAGCUUAACUUGAUGUUUGCUGGAAAAACUCUCUGGCUUGAGACUGGAAGAGGCAAGUGGAAUAGCCGGUGUAGUAGUAAAAUGCAUUAAUAUCGGCUAGAACACCAAUAGCGAAGGCAACUUGCUGGUACAGUUCUGACACUCAUUGGACGAAAGCGUGGGGAGCGAAUGGGAUUAGAAACCCCGGUAGUCC